rnacentral:rRNA from 1 species
UACGGAGGGUGCAAGCGUUAAUCGGAAUUACUGGGCGUAAAGCGCGCGUAGGUGGUUUGAUAAGCGAGAUGUGAAAGCCCCGGGCUUAACCUGGGAACGGCAUUUCGAACUGUCAGGCUAGAGUAUGGUAGAGGAGUGUGGAAUUUCCUGUGUAGCGGUGAAAUGCGUAGAUAUAGGAAGGAAUACCGAUGGCGAAGGCAGCCAGCUGGACCAAUACUGACGCUGAGGUGCGAAAGCGUGGGGAGCAAACAGGAUUAGAUACCCGUGUAGUCC